rnacentral:tRNA from 1 species
GUUAUGGUAAGCUAAAAUAAGCUAUUGGGCCCAUACCCCAACCAUGUAAGUUAAAACCCUACCCAUAAUA